AUUGAACGCUGGCGGCAUGCCUAACACAUGCAAGUCGAACGGGGGUAGCAAUACCCUAGUGGCGGACGGGUGAGGAAUACGUAGGAAUUUGCCCUUAAGUGGGGGAUAACCCGGGGAAACCCGGACUAAUACCGCAUGAUCUCGUGAGAGCAAAGCAGGGGACCGCAAGGCCUUGCGCUUUUGCAGAAGCCUACGUCGGAUUAGCUAGUUGGUGGGGUAAUGGCCCACCAAGGCUACGAUCCGUAACUGGUCUGAGAGGAUGAUCAGUCACACCGGAACUGAGACACGGUCCGGACUCCUACGGGAGGCAGCAGUGGGGAAUAUUGGACAAUGGGCGAAAGCCUGAUCCAGCAAUGCCGCGUGUGUGAAGAAGGCCUUCGGGUUGUAAAGCACUUUAGGCUGGAAAGAAAAAGCUUUGGCUAAUAUCCAAAGCCUUGACGGUACCAGCAGAAUAAGCACCGGCUAACUCUGUGCCAGCCGCCGCAGUAACAC
rnacentral:rRNA from 1 species